rnacentral:rRNA from 1 species
CAGUAGCCGCGGGAAUACGGAGGAUCCAAGCGUUAUCCGGAUUUAUUGGGUUUAAAGGGUGCGUAGGUGGCUUUUUAAGUCAGGGGUGAAAGACGGUAGCUUAACUAUCGCAGUGCCUUUGAUACUGAAGAGCUUGAAUGAACUAGAGGUAGGCGGAAUGUGACAAGUAGCGGUGAAAUGCAUAGAUAUGUCACAGAACACCAAUUGCGAAGGCAGCUUACUAUGGUUUUAUUGACACUGAGGCACGAAAGCGUGGGGAUCAAACAGGAUUAGAUACCCCAGUAGUCCCUGUCUCUUAUAC